CUUUGACAUAAAAAUUAUUUUAAGCCAAAGGCAAUUAAGAAGCAGUAAACACAGAAAAAAACCCUCCCCCUUUUCUGCCUAAAGGCAGGAUAUAAAUUCUCCUUUUACUGGAGAGAGACUCUUAUCAGCUCCGAGAUGGCACAAGCGGAAUCUGCACACAAACUUUAUUCCAUUCGUUCCCUCCUAUAUUUACCUUCCCACGGUUUGCCGCCUUUGGAAGCCUAAAACCGCCUCCCUUUGUCCUGUCGUUUCUCUACAAAUUUGUUGGUUUUUGUUGAAGAUGCUAUACAAGCUGGAAUUCAAAGCCGCCAUUUUGAGUUAGUCUUGGUUUCUGUUUCUCCCACGUGAUGUGCGCUGCAUGCCUUAACGAACUGUUUUUCCUCCGUUAAUCUGUCUUUUUGUUAAAGACUCCCAGCUGAAAGCCUAAGAUGGAGCGAGACAAUUCCAAGACCCCACCAGGCAGAAGUUGAUUUGGGGGUUCAUGCAGAUCUGGCUUCACUGACGGGGCCUUGGUGUGCCUACAUAUAACCACAUGACAUCUGGUGAAUUUCUCAGACAACAGCCUAAAUAGCCUUUGAAUUCAGUUCGUGAGUCUACCAAUUAAACUUAAAAUAACCAAAAAUAUGACUUAUAAUUUCCUCCACUCAUCUUCUACACACGACCACCUUUUAGGAAGCCAAAUACAACCUUCUUUUUGGCUGAUGCACCACCCACCCAUCAAAAACCACAAAUGAAUCAAAUAGAGACCUAUGUGAAGAAGUUCUAGCGAGUGCUCCAAAUAAUACUUCUCCACAUGGAAUAAAUAUGUAGGAAAUCACUCUUUGCUUUCUUGAACUAGUUAGGCUUUUUGGGGAGGCAAAAAUUGGUUGUAUUUUACUCUCCUCUAUAAGUUAGUCACUCUAGCUCUAAAGCUCAAAAUUAUACCCUGAGAACUAUGCUUUUCCUUUCAUCCAUUUUUCUCUGCAGUCAAGGAACAGAGGAACAAUCUCAAUCGCAAAGUUCUCAGAGGUAUUCCUUAUCCUCCUGGUCCUACUUAAUUGGCUUCAAAUGGAUGUUGCAAUCCUUCACCUGUGCAUCAGUUUCGACUGCACCCACUCCCCAGCAGCUUUGCUGCUCCAGACAAGGAAAGGACCCUCCAUCCUUGGGAAGUCGUCCUCUGACUACAGGCUCCUGUGUCCGUGCCGUACCACAAGCCUGGAAAAACAUCUCACACAUCAAAUGCUAAUGAGACAGUGUAGAUGACUUAUGAAUACCUGCCUCGUCGGGUCUUUCGCUGGAGGAAAGUCUUCUGAUGAGAGAUGCCGAGUAUGUGUUCUCUCCUCUAACACCCGGCUCUUCCUCCCACUCCCUCCUCCUCCUCUCCUCGGGUACGCAGAGAGUCUGUGCAAUCUGCACCGACGUCUUGAAGUUGCAGCCUGGAUACCCAUCCACACCCACACUACAACCCAAAGACUCAUGCCACCCUCGUCUCACAGUUGCCCUGGAAUUCAUGUUCUCUGAGUGACCAGCUCUUGAUGAAGACCUGCCUAAUUGUUCUACCUAGAGACUUGGACAAGAGCCUGUGAGAAAGAACUAAAGGCUUGCAAAUGUGAGCAUAAACUUAGGCCAGUGAAACACAGAGCACUUUCUCAGUCCCACCCAGACUGCAAACAUUGAUUUAGAGGUUUCCACCAAAAGCAAUAUUUUGCCUUGACCUAACAUAUUUGGCUGCACUGGCUGCACACAUAAGAUCAAGAGAGACGCCAUCUCUGAGGUGUGGUGUCUACUUGGAUGAACAUAUUCUCUUCCUAGGAUCUGUGGAUAAAGCCAACGCUUAUUAUUACUAACUGUCAGCCACUAUUCUAGGGAUGUUUUACAUGGGUUAAGUCCUUCAGUUCUUGCAACAACCCUAUAAGGUAGAUAAUAUCAUUAUCCCCAUUCUAGAGAUGAGGAAACCGAGACACAGAGAACUUGAGUAACUUGCCCAAAUUCACAAAGCAAUUAAAUUUAAUGUCUUUAAUACUUUCCAA
rnacentral:lncRNA from 1 species